AAAGCUAACAGGACCAGUUAGAGUGAGAACGAAAAGCUAUAGUCACCUGAUUACAGUGCCCAAUACAGAGCCCUGGACCAAGGCUGUUUUAUUGCGGGCACCUGCACCUGUGCACUUUGGUUGUGCUGCUUCUUUGGAUUUCUGUGUUGUCGACUGGUCAUCUUGAAGCGUGCACCUCUUCUUUUCUUCAUUACGGACAUUACAAUUCCUGAAACCGCCCUCAGGAUUUACGAAAUGAAAAUCCACCAGGAGAGGAGGUCACAAGAACCUCCGGAGCUAUAAGAUCUCGAGCUCCCCACCAGGUGAAAAACAAACAAGGGAAACUUCAAUUCAAGAAACCAUGAAUACACCUUCAGUGGUAAAUAUUUCUUAAGUUCCGCUGUCACCCAAACAUAUUGAACUAUUGUCACUAGGCUUGAG